UACGUAGGGUGCGAGCGUUAAUCGGAAUUACUGGGCGUAAAGCGUGCGCAGGCGGUUGUGCAAGACAGAUGUGAAAUCCCCGGGCUUAACCUGGGAACUGCAUUUGUGACUGCACGGCUAGAGUGUGUCAGAGGGGGGUAGAAUUCCACGUGUAGCAGUGAAAUGCGUAGAUAUGCGGAGGAACACCGAUGGCGAAGGCAAUCCCCUGGACCUGUACUGACGCUCAUGCACGAAAGCGUGGGGAGCAAACAGG
rnacentral:rRNA from 1 species